GAUGAACGCUGGCGGCGUGCCUAAUACAUGCAAGUCGAGCGAACAGACGAGGAGCUUGCUCCUCUGACGUUAGCGGCGGACGGGUGAGUAACACGUGGAUAACCUACCUAUAAGACUGGGAUAACUUCGGGAAACCGGAGCUAAUACCGGAUAAUAUAUUGAACCGCAUGGUUCAAUAGUGAAAGACGGUUUUGCUGUCACUUAUAGAUGGAUCCGCGCCGCAUUAGCUAGUUGGUAAGGUAACGGAUUACCAAGGCAACGAUGGGUAGCCGACCUGAGAGGGUGAUCGGCCACAAUGGAACUGAGACGAGAUCCGGACUCCGACGGGAGGCAGCAGUGGGGAAUCUUCCGCAAUGGGCGAAAGCCUAACGGAGCAACGCCGCGUGAGUGAUGAAGGUCUUCGGAUCGUAAAACUCUAUUAUUAGGGAAGAACAAAUGUGUAAGUAACUAUGCACGUCUUGACGGUACCUAAGCAGAAAGCCACGGCUAACUACGU
rnacentral:rRNA from 1 species